rnacentral:rRNA from 1 species
GAUGAACGCUAGCUACAGGCUUAACACAUGCAAGUCGAGGGGAAACGAUAUUGGAAGCUUGCUUCCGAUAGGCGUCUACCGGCGCACGGGUGAGUAACGCGUACCCAACCUGCCCAUCACCUGGGGAUAACCUUGCUAUAGUAAGACUAAUACCACAUGAUAUCUCUAGACGACAUCUGAAGGCAAUUAAAGAUUCAUCGGUCAUGGAUGGGGAUGCGUCUGAUUAGCUUGUUGGCGGGGUAACGGCCCACCAAGGCGACGAGCAGUAGGGGUUCUGAGAGGAAGGUCCCCCACAUUGGAACUGAGACACGGUCCAAACUCCUACGGGAGGCAGCAGUGAGGAAUAUUGGUCAAUGGACGAGAGUCUGAACCAGCCAAGUAGCGUGCAGGAUGACGGCCCUAUGGGUUGUAAACUGCUUUUAUAAGGGAAUAAAGUGAGUCUCGUGAGACUUUUUGCAUGUACCUUAUGAAUAAGGACCGGCUAAUUCCGUGCCAGCCGCCGCAGUAA